AAAUAAGAAGCUUGUAGCAAUUAAUUUCGACUUAAUCAUUGAAUAUAAAAUUAUUCCUUAUUUU
rnacentral:tRNA from 1 species